UGGGGAAUAUUGGACAAUGGGCGCAAGCCUGAUCCAGCCAUACCGCGUGGGUGAAGAAGGCCUUCGGGUUGUAAAGCCCUUUUGUUGGGAAAGAAAUCCAGCUGGCUAAUACCCGGUUGGGAUGACGGUACCCAAAGAAUAAGCACCGGCUAACUUCGUGCCAGCAGCCGCGGUAAUACGAAGGGUGCAAGCGUUACUCGGAAUUACUGGGCGUAAAGCGUGCGUAGGUGGUCGUUUAAGUCCGUUGUGAAAGCCCUGGGCUCAACCUGGGAACUGCAGUGGAUACUGGGCGACUAGAGUGUGGUAGAGGGUAGCGGAAUUCCUGGUGUAGCAGUGAAAUGCGUAGAGAUCAGGAGGAACAUCCAUGGCGAAGGCAGCUACCUGGACCAACACUGACACUGAGGCACGAAAGCGUGGGGAGCAAACAGGAUUAGAUACCCUGGUAGUCCACGCCCUAAACGAUGCGAACUGGAUGUUGGGUGCAAUUUGGCACGCAGUAUCGAAGCUAACGCGUUAAGUUCGCCGCCUGGGGAGUACGGUCGCAAGAC
rnacentral:rRNA from 1 species